CCAAAGCUGCUGUUUAUUUUAACCAGUAUGAACAUGUUUACGUUCUUUUAAAACUGACAUUUUACUGCAUUGAGGAUUCAACGACAAGAACAAUGAAUUUGGAGAUGUGUUAAUGCCAAAUAAAUCCUGUUAAGCGGUCAAAAUGACAUCUUAUAGCCCGACAAAAAUAGAAAUACAAAGUAAGAGACAGCGAUCGCCGAUGGCGAUGCACAGGAACAAUUGUAUGAAAUAUAAACUCGAUAUAAGACUGCUAAUUAAGUGCUAACUAUGCUUUUGUAAGAACAGAGUAGACCAGACACAGUACUAACUAAAUGCGGUGCUUUACAAAUAAAACUUUCA